GUCUCAUGGCAACUACAGUAAUCCAGGAGAUAUACCAAUGGCCAAUCCAAAAGAACAAACGAUUCUUUGGCAGCAGAACACAUACAUGGGUGACUCAGGCAUUCAUUCAGGAGCAACCACUCAGGCACCAUCAGUGAGUGGAAGAGAAGAGGAAAUGGACGAUGAUCAAAUGGUGUUUGAUUG